CCUUAGCCCCGAUUGCAACGGUUACCCCGCAGCAGGCAAUGGAAAAGCUUUGGCGCGAGGAGUAUGAGUGGAAAGCGGGAAACAGC
rnacentral:misc_RNA from 1 species